rnacentral:rRNA from 1 species
UACGAAGGGUGCAAGCGUUACUCGGAAUUACUGGGCGUAAAGCGUGCGUAGGCGGUGAUUUGUGUCUGAUGUGAAAGCCCCGGGCUCAACCUGGGAAUGGCAUUGGAAACUGGAUUGCUGGAGUACGGUAGAGGGUGGUGGAAUUCCCGGUGUAGCAGUGAAAUGCGUAGAGAUCGGGAGGAACAUCUGUGGCGAAGGCGGCCACCUGGACCAGUACUGACGCUGAGGCACGAAAGCGUGGGGAGCAAACAGG